rnacentral:rRNA from 1 species
GACGAACCGUGCGAACGUUAUUCGGAAUCACUGGGCUUAAAGCGCGUGUAGGCGGGAGGGCACGUCCGUUGCUGAAAUCCCCCGGCUCAACCGGGGAACGGGCGCGGAUACGACUCUCCUUGAGGGGCGUAGGGGGACCUGGAACUUCCGGUGGAGCGGUGAAAUGCGUUGAGAUCGGAAGGAACGCCCGUGGCGAAAGCGAGGUCCUGGACGUCUGCUGACGCUGAGACGCGAAAGCCAGGGGAGCGAACGGG